rnacentral:rRNA from 1 species
UCAAGUGACUAAGUGCAUGUGGUGGAUGCCUUGGCAAUGAUAGGCGAUGAAGGACGUGAUAGCCUGCGAAAAGCUUCGGGGAGCUGGCAAAUGAGCUUUGAUCCGGAGAUAUCCGAAUGGGGAAACCUACCGAAAGGUAUCGUGAUCUGAAUCCAUAGGGUCACGAGGCGAACCGGGCGAACUGAAACAUCUCAGUAGCUCGAGGAAAAGACAUCAACCGAGAUUGCGAAAGUAGUGGCGAGCGAAAUCGCAGGAGCCUGUACGAUGUAGCAUCUGGCUUAGCAAAACGGAAUGGAAAGUCCGGCCAUAGCGGGUGAUAGCCCCGUAUGUGAAAAGUUGGGUGUGGAACUGGGCGUACGACAAGUAGGGCGGGACACGUGUAAUCCUGUCUGAAGAUGGGGGGACCAUCCUCCAAGGCUAAAUACUCAUCAUUGACCGAUAGUGAACAAGUACCGUGAGGGAAAGGCGAAAAGAACCCCGGGAGGGGAGUGAAACAGAUCCUGAAACCGCAUGCAUACAAAAAGUCGGAGCCUUGCUCAGCGAUGGGGGGGUGACGGCGUACCUUUUGUAUAAUGGGUCAGCGACUUACAUUCAGUGGCAAGGUUAACCGAAUAGGGAAGCCGAAGAGAAAUCGAGUCCGAACAGGGCGAACAGUCGCUGGGUGUAGACCCGAAACCAGGUGAUCUAUCCAUGGCCAGGAUGAAGGUGCGGUAACACGCACUGGAGGUCCGAACCGACUAGUGUUGCAAAACUAGCGGAUGAGCUGUGGAUAGGGGUGAAAGGCUAAACAAACCUGGAGAUAGCUGGUUCUCUCCGAAAACUAUUUAGGUAGUGCCUCAAGUAUUACCGACGGGGGUAGAGCACUGUUAUGGCUAGGGGGUCAUGGCGACUUACCAAACCAUUGCAAACUCCGAAUACCGUUGAGUACAGCUUGGGAGACAGUGCACCGGGUGCUAACGUCCGGACACAAGAGGGAAACAACCCAGACCGCCAGCUAAGGUCCCUAAAAUUGGCUAAGUGGGAAACGAAGUGGGAAGGCUAAAACAGUCAGGAUGUUGGCUUAGAAGCAGCCAUCAUUUAAAGAAAGCGUAAUAGCUCACUGAUCGAGUCGUCCUGCGCGGAAGAUGUAACGGGGCUAAGCCAGUUACCGAAGCUGCGGAUGCACAGUAAUGUGCGUGGUAGGAGAGCGUUCCGUAAGCCUGUGAAGGUAUCUCGUGAGGGGUGCUGGAGGUAUCGGAAGUGCGAAUGCUGACAUGAGUAGCGUUAAAGGGGGUGAAAAGCCUCCUCGCCGAAAGCGCAAGGUUUCCUACGCAACGUUCAUCGGCGUAGGGUGAGUCGGCCCCUAAGGCGAGGCAGAGAUGCGUAGCUGAUGGGAAACAGGUCAAUAUUCCUGUACCGAUCCAUAGUGCGAUGUGGGGACGGAGAAGGUUAGCUCAGCCGGGUGUUGGAAGUCCCGGUUCAAGCCUGUAGUCGUGCCUGGUAGGCAAAUCCGCCGGGUUUAGAUGAGGGGUGAUAACGAGUGUGCUUGCACGCGAAGUGAGUGAUACCCUGCUUCCAGGAAAAGCCACUAAGCUUCAGCUAUGGACGACCGUACCGCAAACCGACACUGGUGCGCGAGAUGAGUAUUCUAAGGCGCUUGAGAGAACUCUGGAGAAGGAACUCGGCAAAUUGACACCGUAACUUCGGAAGAAGGUGUGCCCUGAGUAGGUGGACCGGUACAUGGGGAGCCCAAAGGGGUCGCAGAGAAUCGGUGGCUGCGACUGUUUAUUAAAAACACAGCACUCUGCAAAGAUGAAAGUCGACGUAUAGGGUGUGACGCCUGCCCGGUGCUGGAAGAUUAAAUGAUGGGGUGAGAGCUCUUGAUUGAAGUCCCAGUAAACGGCGGCCGUAACUAUAACGGUCCUAAGGUAGCGAAAUUCCUUGUCGGGUAAGUUCCGACCUGCACGAAUGGCGUAACGAUGGCCACGCUGUCUCCUCCAGAGACUCAGCGAAGUUGAAAUGUUUGUGAUGAUGCAAUCUCCCCGCGGAAAGACGGAAAGACCCCAUGAACCUUUACUGUAGCUUUACAUUGGACUUUGAACAGAUCUGUGUAGGAUAGGUGGGAGGCUUUGAAGUGAGGAUGCUAGUUCUCAUGGAGCCGACGUUGAAAUACCACCCUGGUGUGUUUGAGGUUCUAACCUUGUCCCGUGAUCCGGGAUGGGGACAGUGUAUGGUGGGCAGUUUGACUGGGGCGGUCUCCUCCCAAAGCGUAACGGAGGAGUUCGAAGGUACGCUAGGCACGCUCGGGUAUCGUGACUGGGAAAC